rnacentral:rRNA from 1 species
AUUGAACGCUAGCGGGAUGCCUUACACAUGCAAGUCGAACGGCGUGGCGAAAGGGUACGUACUGUAUCGGAAAGUACCCAGUAGAGGGGGAUAACUACGCGAAAGCGUAGCUAAUACCGCAUACUAUUGGAGCGGCCGAUAUCGGAUUAGCUAGUUGGUGGGGUAACGGCUCACCAAGGCGACGAUCGGUAGCUGGUUUGAGAGGACGACCAGCCACACUGGGACUGAGACACGGCCCAGACUCCUACGGGAGGCAGCAGUGGGGAAUUUUGGACAAUGGGGGAAACCCUGAUCCAGCCAUCCCGCGUGUGCGAUGAAGGCCUUCGGGUUGUAAAGAACUGUUGGCAGGAAAGCGGUACCUGCAGAAUAAGCACCGGCUAACUACGUGCCAGCAGCCGCGGUAAUAC